CGAGGCUCGGGGGCAGCAGUGCAGGCUGGGUGGCCGUGGGCCUGGCACACGGCGUGCAGGCAGGAGCUCCGGAAGGAUCCGCCGCAGGUGCUCUGACACUCAAAAAUGGAUAACGGUCAGGAAAGCCAGCAUACUGGAAAUCACAAGGCCGACAUUCCGAAGCCCACAGAAAAGAUUUCUUCUCCCCAGCGCCUCACUGCCUGCCUGGUGUCCUCUGCCCUUUUCGGCUGCCUUGGCUCCUCCUUCCUCUAUGGCUACAGCCUCUCCGUGGUCAAUGCUCCUGCUCGGGUGAGUACCACCAACAGCCAGCAGGUGGGGUAGCAGGCAGUUGCUGAUGUGGCAAAAACGUGGACUGUGCAGGAACCUCAGAGCCUGGGAUGAGGAACACUGCUCUAAGUG